rnacentral:lncRNA from 1 species
UGGUUUUGGCUUUGGCUUUGGCUUUGGCUUUGGCGACGAAGCUGAUGCUUCAGCAAUGGCUGGCAUUGGUGCAGGCACCGAUCCUUCAGCAUCAGUGGCUGGCUUCUGUGUCUGUGCCACAGGUGAUGCCUCAGCAAAAGUGGUUGACUUAGGCGUUUGCACCACAGGUGAUGCCUCAGCAACAUUGGAUGGCUGAGUUUGCACCACAGGCGAUGCCUCAUCAGCAACAUCGGAUGGCUGCUUUUGCACCGCCUCAGCAACAUUGGAUGGCUGCGGUAAAACCGCCG